rnacentral:rRNA from 1 species
GAUGAACGCUGGCGGCGUGCCUAAUACAUGCAAGUCGAGCGAACAGACGAGGAGCUUGCUCCUCUGACGUUAGCGGCGGACGGGUGAGUAACACGUUGAUAACCUUCCUAUAAGACUGGGAUAACUUCGGGAAACCGGAGCUAAUACCGGACAAUAUCUUGCACCGCAUGGUUCAAUAGUGAAAGACGGUUUUGCUGUCUCUUAUAGAUGGAUCCGCGCCGCAUUAGCUAGUUGGUAAGGUAACGGCUUACCAAGGCAACGAUGCGUAGCCGACCUGAGAGGGUGAUCGGCCACACGGGAGCGGAGACGCGGUGCAGAAUCCUACGUGAGGCAGCAGUAGGGAAUCUUCCGCAAUGGGCGGAAGCCUGACGGAGAAACGCCGCGUGAGUGAUGAAGGUCUUCGGAUCGUAAAACUCUGUUAUUAGGGAAGAACAAAUGUGUAAGAAAAUAUGCACGUCUUGACGGUACCUAAUCAGAAAGCCACGGCUAACUACGUG